rnacentral:misc_RNA from 1 species
UCCGGCUCUUACCGGCAGUCCCACUAAAGUGCCAAACUUAAUUAGGGCAACUAGUGGUAAGGGUUGCGCUCGUUGCGUCACUUAAGACAACAUCUCACGACACGAGCUGACGACAGCCAUGCAGCACCUGUGUCUAGGUUCUCCGAAGAGCACAGCCUAAUCUCUUAGGCCUUCCUAGCAUGUCAAGAGCAGGUAAGGUUUUUCGCGUUGCAUCGAAUUAAUCCACAUCAUCCACCGCUUGUGCGGGUCCCCGUCAAUUCCUUUGAGUUUUAAUCUUGCGACCGUACUCCCCAGGCGGUCUACUUCUCACGUUAGCUCCGCUACUAAGGCUUUCAAUCCCCAACAGCUAGUAGACAUCGUUUAGGGCGUGGACUAC